CCUACGGGCGGCAGCAGUGGGGGAUAUUGCACAAUGGGGGAAACCCUGAUGCAGCAACGCCGCGUGAGUGAAGAAGUAUUUCGGUAUGUAAAGCUCUAUCAGCAGGGACGAGAAAGACGGUAACUUACUAAGAAGCCCCCGCUAACUACGUUCCAGCAGCCGCGGUGAUACGUAGGGGGCGAGCGUUAUUCGGAUUUACUGGGUGGAAAGGGAGCGUAGACGGCUGGUCAAGUCUGAAGUGAAAGCCCGGGGCUUAACCCCGGAACGGCUUUGGAGACUGAGCAGCUAGAGUGCAGGAGAGGUAAGCGGAAUUCCUAGUGUAGCGGUGAAAUGCGUAGAUAUUAGGAGGAACACCAGUGGCGAAGGCGGCUUACUGGACAGUAACUGACGUUGAGGCUCGAAAGCGUGGGGAGCAAACAGGAUUAGAUACCCGUGUAGUC
rnacentral:rRNA from 1 species